CGAGUAGGCGGUCCGCUAAGUCUGAUGUGAAAGCCCGGGGCUCACCCCCGGGAAGGGCAUUGGAAACUGACGGACUCGAGUCCCGGAGAGGAAGGUGGAAUUCCUGGUGUAGCGGUGAAAUGCGUAGAUAUCAGGAGGAACAUCGGAGGCGAAGGCGGCCUUCUGGACGGUGACUGACGCUGAUCCGCGAAAGCGUGGGAGCAAACAG
rnacentral:rRNA from 1 species